rnacentral:rRNA from 1 species
GCUUAGCCCUAAACCUAAAUAGUUAAAUAAACAAAACUAUUCGCCAGAGAACUACUAGCAACAGCCUAAAACUCAAAGGACUUGGCGGUGCUUUACAUCCCUCUAGAGGAGCCUGUUCUAUAAUCGAUAAACCCCGAUAAACCUCACCACCCCUUGCUAAUACAGUCUAUAUACCGCCAUCUUCAGCAAACCCUAAAAAGGAAGAACAGUAAGCAUAAAUAUAUUAACAUAAAAAAGUUAGGUCAAGGUGUAACCCAUGAGGUGGGAAGCAAUGGGCUACAUUUUCUACUCCAGAACAUAACUACUCACGAAAAUUUUUAUGAAACUAAAAAUUAAAGGAGGAUUUAGUAGUAAAUUGAGAAUAGAGUGCUCAAU